UACGUAGGGGGCAAGCGUUGUCCGGAUUCACUGGGUUUAAAGGGUGCGUAGGUGGGAAGGUAAGUCAGUGGUGAAAUCCCCGAGCUUAACUUGGGAACUGCCAUUGAUACUAUCUUUCUUGAAUACCUUGGAGGUGAGCGGAAUAUGUCAUGUAGCGGUGAAAUGCUUAGAUAUGACAUAGAACACCAAUUGCGAAGGCAGCUCACUACACGGUCAUUGACACUGAGGCACGAAAGCGUGGGGAUCAAACAGG
rnacentral:rRNA from 1 species